rnacentral:rRNA from 1 species
CGUAGGUGGCAAGCGUUGUCCGGAAUUAUUGGGCGUAAAGCGCGCGCAGGCGGUCCUUUAAGUCUGAUGUGAAGCCCACGGCUCAACCGUGGAGGGUCAUUGGAAACUGGGGGACUUGAGUGCAGAAGAGGAAGUGGAAUUCCACGUGUAGCGGUGAAAUGCGUAGAGAUGUGGAGGAACACCAGUGGCGAAGGCGACUUUCUGGUCUGUAACUGACGCUGAGGCGCGAAAGCGUGGGGGAGCAAACAGGAUU